rnacentral:sRNA from 1 species
GUUUUGCGUGAGGGAUAGCAGCGGCAUCCUUUUGUGAAGUCCCGAUAGCAAUCGGGACUUCACAAAAGUUAUAGCGUAUAGCCCGACGGCUU